CCUACGGGGGGCAGCAGUGAGGAAUAUUGGUCAAUGGUCGGGAGACUGAACCAGCCAAGCCGCGUGAGGGAGGAAGGUACAGAGUAUCGUAAACCUCUUUUGUCAGGGAACAAAGACUGGGACGCGUCCCCGGAUGAGUGUACCUGAAGAAAAAGCAUCGGCAAACUCCGUGCCAGCAGCCGCGGUAAUAGGGAGGAUGCGAGCGUUAUCCGGAUUUAUGGGGUUAAAAGGGUGCGCAGGCGGUCUGUUAAGUCAGCGGGCAAAGCCCGGGGCUAAACCCGGGCCCGCCGUUGAAACUGGCAGUCUCGAGUUGGAGAGAGGUAUGCGGAAUGCGCGGUGUAGCGGUGAAAUGCAUAGAGAUCGGGAAGAACUCCGAUUGCGAAGGCGGCAUGCCGGAUCCACACUGACGCUGAGGGACGAAAGCGUGGGUAUCGAACAGGAUUAGAUACCCCAGUAGUC
rnacentral:rRNA from 1 species